rnacentral:tRNA from 1 species
GGAGGGUUGGCAGAACGGCAAUUGCGCUGGUUUCGAACACCAGUAGGAGUAAUCCUUUGUAGGUUCAAAUCCUACACCCUCCGCCA